UUUAGAGUUUGAUCCUAGCUCAGGGUGAACGCUGGCGAUGUGGAUAAGGCAUGCAAGUCGAACGCCGAGCAUCUCACUGUCGUGAGACGCAGAAGCAUGAAUCAGGAAUUAUGGAUUCGCCGAAAAUCGCAGAGCGAUUUUCGGCUCAUAAUUUUUAAUUCAUAAUUCUGCACCAAACGAGAGUGAGGUGCUUGGAGUGGCAGACGAGGUAGUAAUGCAUAAGUAUGUACCCCAAAGUCGGGCAUAAUCAAUCGAAAGAUUGGCUAAUUCCCGAUGGUCCCGAUACUAUUUUUGUAAUUAAUCUUGGUUAAAUAUUACAAGACAAUAUAAGGUUGUUUUGAAAUAAAGCUAUUAGAUUAAUUUCGAAAGCGGUGUCGGGUAAAGAUUUAUCGCUUUGGGAACAGCUUGUGUGGUAUCAGCUUGUUGGUAGUGUAAAGGACUACCAAGGCUAUGACGCCUAGGGGAGGUGAGAGCCUGACCCCCACCGAUGGAACUGAGAACGGUCCAUACUCCUACGGGAGGCCGCAGUCGAGAAUCUUCCGCAAUGGGCGAAAGCCUGACGGAGCGACAUCGCGUGGUUGAUGAAGUCCUUAGGGAUGUAAAGACCUUUUAUGAAGGAGAAAGUUGAGUAUCUCACUUUCGUGAGAUGAAGAAUUAUGAAUAAAGAAUUAUGAAUUAUGGAGAAAGAUUUGUGAAACAAAUUUUUCAUUCCUAAUUCUUAAUUUAAAAUUCCUGAUUCGCGCCGAACGAGAGUGAGGUGCUUAAUUGAUGUUACUUCAUGAAUAAGGGGCUGCUAACUCUGUGCCAGCAGCAGCGGUAAUACAGAGGCCCCAAGCGUUACCCGGAAUCACUGGGCGUAAAGUGUGUGUAGGCGGUUGCAUUAGUCUUCUGUUAAAUUUUCGCGCUUAACGCGAAGUCCGCAGGGGAAACGGCGCAACUAGAGGAUGUGAGAGGUCUAUGGAACUCAUGGUGUAGGGGUGAAAUCCGUUGAUAUCAUGGGGAACACCAAAAGCGAAGGCAAUAGACUGGCGCAUUCCUGACGCUGAGACACGAAAGCGUGGGUAGCGAAUGGGAUUAGAUACCCCAGUAGUCCACGCCCUAAACGAUGUCCGUUAGCUCUUUGGAGUAUCGACCCUCUGAGGGGCAAAGCUAACGCAUUAAACGGACCGCCUGGGUAGUACGGCCGCAAGGCUAAAACUCAAAGGAAUAGACGGGGGCUCGCACAAGCGGUGGAUCAUGCGGCUUAAUUCGAUGGUACACGAAAACCUUACCAGGACUUGAAAUCAAAUUGAAAGUUCCGUGAAAGCGGAACCCUCCUUUGGACAAUUUGGCAGGUGUUGCAUGGCCGUCGUCAGUUCGUGGUUUGAAUUGUUCCCUUAAGUGGGGAAACGAACGCAACCCCUAUUGCCUGUUAUAAGUGUCAGGCGAGACUGCUCCCUCACGGGAGAGGAAGGUGGGGAUGACGCCAGGUCAGCAUGACCCUUUGAUGUCCUGGGCUGCACGCAUGAUACAAUGGUUAUUACAACGGGAAGCAAUAUCGUAAGAUGGAGCAAAUCCUUAUAAAAAUAACCCAAGUUCGGAUUGAGGUCUGCAAUUUGACCUCAUGAAGCUGGAAUCGCUAGUAAUCGCAGGUCAGCUAUACUGCGGUGAAUACGUUCUCGAGCCUUGUACUCAC
rnacentral:rRNA from 1 species